GACGAACGCUGGCGGCGUGCUUAACACAUGCAAGUCGAGGGGGUUCGUGGGGCAACUCACGGAUCACCGGCGAACGGGUGCGUAACACGUGAGCGACCUGCCGUACCUGUGGGGGAUAGCCGGCCCAACGGCCGGGUAAUACCGCAUACGCUCGUCUUGGGGCAUCCUGGGACAAAGAAAGCUCUGGGGGCAACCCUGGGGCGCAGGACGAGGGGCUCGCGGCCUAUCAGCUAGUUGGCGGGGAACGGCCCACCAAGGCGGUGACGGGUAGCCGGUCUGAGAGGAUGGCCAGCCACAUUGGGACUGAGAGACGGCCCAGACUCCUACGGGAGGCAGCAGUGGGGAAUCUUGCGCAAUGGCCUAACGGCUGACGCAGCGACGCCGCGUGUGGGA
rnacentral:rRNA from 1 species